GGGGUUGUAGCUCAGCUGGGAGAGCACCUGCCUUGCAAGCAGGGGGUCGACAGUUCGAUUCUGUUCAGCUCCA
rnacentral:tRNA from 1 species